AUGCGACGUGGUGGAGGGGCGCGCGGUGAGGAGGCCUGCGUCCUUGCCACAGAGGUCGACGACGGUGGUGCGGACGAGGCGGAUGAGGGAGACGAGAUGCUUGUUAAGGUUGACCUUGCCGACCAGCACCAUCUCGACGACCUCCAUGGUGAGAGCGUCGGUGACGCGGAGGCCGUUGCGGAACUGCGGCUCGACGCUGACGCGCUGCAACCAGGAGUUGAUCCGCGGACCGCCGCCAUGCAUGAGCAGAGGGCGCAGGCCGACGCAGGAGAGGAGGACCAGGUCACGGUCUCACGGAUCACCGACGCCUACAGCUCCCGUGACUUCAUGGCCGCGCUGCCGUACUUCACUGCCACCAUCUUGCCAUUGAACCGUUGGAUCAAGGGGAACACCUCCUACAGGUCAUCCACGCGGGUUCAGCGCCGCGGCCGCGGGGAGGGAGGCGGACGCGGGCCGCGCUGGUGCCAAGAGAAGGCCGAGACACCCUGUAUCUGUUGUUCUGAAUACAAUGUCUUGUGUUUGCAUUUUUUAAGUGAGAUCCCACUUUCAACCGCUUAA
rnacentral:rRNA from 1 species